AUGAUGACUCUCGGCAACGGAUAUCUCGGCUCUCGCAUCGAUGAAGAACGUAGCGAAGUGCGAUACUUGGUGUGAAUUGCAGAAUCCCGUGAACCAUCGAGUUUUUGAACGCAAGUUGCGCCCGAGGCCAAUCGGUCGAGGGCACGCCUGGCUGGGCGUCACGC
rnacentral:rRNA from 2 species